GACGAACGCUGGCGGCCGUGCUUAACACAUGCAAGUCGAGCGGUAAGGCCCUUUCGGGGGUACACGAGCGGCGAACGGGUGAGUAACACGUGGGUGACCUGCCCUUAGCUCUGGGAUAAGCCUGGGAAACUGGGUCUAAUACCGGAUAUGACCUCAUGACUCAUGUUGUGGGGUGGAAAGCCUUGUGCGGCUAGGGAUGGGCCCGCGGCCUAUCAGCUUGUUGGUGGGGUAAUUGCCUACCAAGGCGACGACGGGUAGCCGGCCUGAGAGGGCGACCGGCCACACUGGGACUGAGACACGGCCCAGACUCCUACGGGAGGCAGCAGUGGGGAAUCUUGCGCAAUGGGCGAAAGCCUGACGCAGCGACGCCGCGUGAGGGAUGACGGCCUCGGUU
rnacentral:rRNA from 1 species